rnacentral:tRNA from 1 species
GCCAAUGUGGUGUAGUGGUUUGAGUGUUGGACUACAGCUCUGGAGACCAGGGUUCAAUUCCCCAUUUGGCC